rnacentral:rRNA from 1 species
AGAGCGAACGCUGGCGGCAGGCCUAAUACAUGCAAGUCGAACGCACCUUCGGGUGAGUGGCGGACGGGUGAGUAACGCGUGGGAACGUGCCCUUUGGUUCGGAAUAAUCCGGGGAAACCUGGCCUAAUACCGGAUGUGCCCUUCGGGGGAAAGAUUUAUCGCCAUUGGAGCGGCCCGCGUCUGAUUAGCUUGUUGGUGGGGUAAUGGCCCACCAAGGCUACGAUCAGUAGCUGGUCUGAGAGGAUGAUCAGCCACACUGGGACUGAGACACGGCCCAGACUCCUACGGGAGGCAGCAGUGGGGAAUAUUGGACAAUGGGCGCAAGCCUGAUCCAGCAAUGCCGCGUGAGUGAUGAAGGCCUUAGGGUUGUAAAGCUCUUUUGUGCGGGAAGAUAAUGACGGUACCGCAAGAAUAACGCCCCGGCUAACUUCGUGCCAGCAGCCG